CCUGUUGAAAAUACAAAUUGGAUGAAUCCAAGUACUUAACACUUGGUUGUUCUAGGUGCAGGGCAUCAGAUAAAGUUGUGAUCAACUUCCUGUCUAAAAUGCAGCCAGUUCAGUUCCAGUAAAAAUGCCGUCUAGGACUUGGUCACCAUGAUCCUCCACCUGCUAGGCAAAGACAUUCUCCAAAAAGGUGUCUGUCCUGUCGAGUCUUUGCAACAUUUUAGGAGCUUGGCCUGCUGUUGGUCGUCUGAGAGUCCAGGUCCACAAAUUGGAAAGCCCUGCCACAGGUUGACUUUAGCCACAAGUGCUUCUACUCCGUUGGCUGGUAAACUAGCUCCC